GCUGACACAUCCCGGCCAAUCUCCAGCAGACCCUCCCUCCCAGACCCUCCCACCUCCUGGACAGCAUCCAUGUUGAAGGCAGCUUCAACAUGGAUGCUGUCCAGGAGGUGGGAGGGUCUGGGAGGGAGGGUCUGCUGGAGAUUGGCUGGGAUGUGUCAG